rnacentral:rRNA from 1 species
UACGUAGGGGGCAAGCGUUGUCCGGAAUCAUUGGGCGUAAAGAGCGUGUAGGCGGCCUGAUAAGUCGGCUGUGAAAGUCAAGGGCUCAACCCUUGAAUGCCGGCCGAUACUGUCAGGCUAGAGUCCGGAAGAGGCGAGUGGAAUUCCUGGUGUAGCGGUGAAAUGCGCAGAUAUCAGGAAGAACACCGAUGGCGAAGGCAGUUCUCUGGGACGGUACUGACGCUGAGACGCGAAAGCGUGGGGAGCGAACAGG